GAGUUUGAUCCUGGCUCAGGACGAACGCUGGCGGCGUGCUUAACACAUGCAAGUCGAACGAUGAAGCCGCUUCGGUGGUGGAUUAGUGGCGAACGGGUGAGUAACACGUGGGCAAUCUGCCCUUCACUCUGGGACAAGCCCUGGAAACGGGGUCUAAUACCGGAUACCACUCUGUCCCGCAUGGGACGGGGUUGAAAGCUCCGGCGGUGAAGGAUGAGCCCGCGGCCUAUCAGCUUGUUGGUGGGGUAAUGGCCUACCAAGGCGACGACGGGUAGCCGGCCUGAGAGGGCGACCGGCCACACUGGGACUGAGACACGGCCCAGACUCCUACGGGAGGCAGCAGUGGGGAAUAUUGCACAAUGGGCGAAAGCCUGAUGCAGCGACGNCGGGUGAGGGAUGACGGCCUUCGGGUUGUAAACCUCUUUCAGCAGGGAAGAAGCGCAAG
rnacentral:rRNA from 1 species